AGUGAACGCUGGCGGUAGGCCUAACACAUGCAAGUCGAACGGCAGCACAGUAAGAUCUUGCUCUUACGGGUGGCGAGUGGCGGACGGGUGAGGAAUACAUCGGAUUCUACUUUUUCGUGGGGGAUAACGUAGGGAAACUUACGCUAAUACCGCAUACGACCUACGGGUGAAAGCAGGGGAUCUUCGGACCUUGCGCGAUUGAAUUAGCCGAUGUCGGAUUAGCUAGUUGGCGGGGUAAAGGCCCACCAAGGCGACGAUCCGUAGCUGGUCUGAGAGGAUGAUCAGCCACACUGGAACUGAGACACGGUCCAGACUCCUACGGGAGGCAGCAGUGGGGAAUAUUGGACAAUGGGCGCAAGCCUGAUCCAGCCAUACCGCGUGGGUGAAGAAGGCCUUCGGGUUGUAAAGCCCUUUUGUUGGGAAAGAAAAGCAGCAGGUUAAUACCCCGCUGUUCUGACGGUACCCAAAGAAUAAGCACCGGCUAACUUCGUG
rnacentral:rRNA from 1 species